rnacentral:sRNA from 1 species
CCCCGGGUUCACACCCGGGGCUACCUUGUGCCGUCCCUCCGGGGCU